GACGAACGCUGGCGGCGUGCUUAACACAUGCAAGUCGAGCGAGAAAGCGGCUUCGGCCGUGAGUACAGCGGCGAACGGGUGAGUAACACGUGGGCAACCUGCCCCAGAGAUUGGGAUAACGUCCCGAAAGGGACGCUAAUACCGAAUGACGCGUGACCUGCCAAGUGGGUCACGCCAAAUGGUAGCCUCGGCCUCUGCUCUGGGAUGGGCCCGCGCCGGAUUAGCUUGUUGGUAGGGUAACGGCCUACCAAGGCGACGACGGGUAGCCGGCCUGGGAGGGUGUCCGGCCACACUGGGACUGCGAUACGGCCCAGACUCCUACGGGAGGCAGCAGUGGGGAAUAUUGCACAAUGGGCGCAAGCCUGAUGCAGCGACGCCGCGUGAGGGAUGACGGCCUUCGGGUUGUAAACCUCUUUCGCCCACGACGAUGAUGACGGUAGUGGGAGAAGAAGCCCCGGCUAACUUCGUGCCAGCCGCCGCAGUAAAAC
rnacentral:rRNA from 1 species